rnacentral:rRNA from 1 species
UACGUAGGGGCCGAGCGUUGUCCGGAGUUACUGGGCGUAAAGAGCUCGUAGGUGGUUUGUCGCGUUGUUCGUGAAAACCUGAGGCUUAACCUUGGGCGUGCGGGCGAUACGGGCAGACUGGAGUACUGCAGGGGAGACUGGAAUUCCUGGUGUAGCGGUGGAAUGCGCAGAUAUCAGGAGGAACACCGGUGGCGAAGGCGGGUCUCUGGGCAGUAACUGACGCUGAGGCGCGAAAGCGUGGGGAGCGAACAGG